AAGCCUAAGUACUCGUGCAUCACCGAUAGCGAACCAGUACCGUGAGGGAAAGGUGAAAAGUACCCCGGGAGGGGAGUGAAAGAGUUCCUGAAACCGGUCGCAUGCAAGCCGUCAGAGCCUGUGUGGUGAUGGCGUGCCUUUUGAAGAAUGAGCCUGCGAGUUAGUGAUGCGUGGCGAGGUUAACCCGUGGUGGGGGAGUCGUAGCGAAAGCGAGUCCGAUAAGGGCGUGAGUCGCGUGUUCUAGACCCGAAGCGGUGUGAUCUAUCCAUGGCCAGGAUGAAGCGUCGGUAAGACGUCGUGGAGGUCCGAACCCACUUCAGUUGAAAAUGGAGGGGAUGAGCUGUGGGUAGGGGUGAAAGGC
rnacentral:rRNA from 1 species